rnacentral:rRNA from 1 species
GAGGAAUGUAUAGCAAUAGCUACUUGCAUCAUAGUAGAUAUGAUGCAAGAUCGACUAUGUUGAAUAAAAUUCUAGGUAGAAUUAUGAUAAUGACAUUGUCUGCCUAUGUGUCUUGACCAAAUUACGUGCCAGCAGUCGCGGUAAUACGUAGAAGACUAGUGUUAUUCAUGUUUAAUCGGUUUAAAGGGUACCUAGACGGUAGAUCAAGCUUUCUAAUAAAGGAAAAGGACUAAUUUACUAGAGUUACUUAUGAGGGGGUAUUAAAGUACUGCUGGUGUAGAGAUGAAAUUCUGUCAUACCUCUUUUCAAAAGAAAAACCAUGGCACAGGUAUAGGCGAAGGCAUCCCCUUAUGUGAUAACUGACGUUGAGGGACGAAGGCUUUGUGUAGCGAACAGGAUUAGAUACCCCAGUAGUCGAAGCAGAAAAUGAUGAAUGUCAUAGAUUAGAUAUAUAAGUUUAUUCUAUAAAUGAAAGUGUAAGCAUUCCACCUCAUGAGUAAUUUGGCAACAUUGGAACUGAAAUCAUUAGACCGUUUCUGAAACCAGUAGUGAAGUAUGUUGUUUAAUUUGAUGAUCCGCAAAAAACCUUACCACAAUUUGAAUAUUUAUAUUAUUUAUUGUUUUAUUAUUAAUAUUCUUAUAGUAAGAAUAUUAAUAAUAAGGCAAUAAGAUAUAUUUACAAGCGUUGCACGGCUGUCUUCAGUUAAUGUCGCGAGACUUUGGUUAGUUCCAUUAAAUUAACGUAAACCCUUACUUUAUUUUUAUAUAGAGUAGUUCCCCGCUAUAUUGGAUAUGAU